UAUGUAUAUAUAUAUAUAUUGGGGUGUAACGGUACAUGUAUUUGUACUGAACCAUUUCAAUACGGGACGUUCGGUUCAGUACAGGACUGUGCACGGGUGAGUUCACGUUGCAUGUGUUUACAUUCAGUGUUGCCAACUUGGCGACUUUCUCGCUAAAUGUGGCGACUUUCCAAACCCUACUGAUGACUUAUUUCC